UUGAAUCGGAGUUACAGCUGCUGGCCUACACCACAGCCACAGCAACGCCAGAUCCAAACCGUGUCUGCGACCUACACCACAGAUCACAGCAACGCCAGAUCCUUAACCCACUGAGCGAGGCCAGGGAUUGAACCCGCAACCUCACAGUUCCUAGUUGGAUUCGUUUCUGCUGCGCCAUGACAGAAACUCCUUCAUGGAGUUGUUAUGAGAAGUAAAUGGGUUAGUUAGUGGAAAUCACACAGAACAGUGCCUGGCAUCCAGCAAGCUCACAGUAAAUAUAAUUACCAUAUUUAUCUGAAUUUUUCACAUGAAGAAAUGAAUUUUUAGAUGCAAUAACUUGCCUCACUAUCAAAGUGGUGGGACAUGGACUUGACCACUCAUCGGUGUUAUGGUAGCUACUAGAGGUGGGCAGCAAGUUUGGGUAGAGAUGGGCAGCUAGAGAUGAGGUUGCCUAGUGGCCAAAAAAAAGGAGACAUUGUGAUACACCGGGUAACUUCCCUGACCACUCAUCUCCAGAGACGUUGUAGUGACCUUUGUUUUCCUGCCACUGUGCAGUUCAGUAGGGCAUUCUAUGCCACUGCGUCGCUGGGUAAGUUGGGGGGGGGGUACUCUGUGGGCAUUUAAUGGUCAGCCUAAUGUCUUACCGUAAUAUAAUUUGUAACAUCAUGACCUAGUGUCACAACUUCUCCCAGACCAUGGUUUGCAGUUGAUGGUCGAGAGGUAGCUUCCAAGUUGGUGAACAUGUAGAGGUGCUGGGAGAGUGUCAUGCCUGGAAAGGGCAUCACAGGGCUGUUACCCCCCACAUACUUUGCCCCAUGUGUCCCUUCCAUCUGGCUGGAACUGAGUUACAGGACUGGGGGUGAUGUCACCAAAAUGGCAGUGUAGGAUACCCAGCCUCCAUCCCCAUACACAGAUCAGCAAUUAGCUACCCAGGACCAAAAAGAACUGCUCUGGGAGAGCUCUGGAGUCCACUUAAGAAACUUCAGCAAUGCAGUGGAACAAAAAACCUGAGAAUAACCAUACAAAGAGGGGAAGAGAGCGUCAUUCUGCCUGUAUUGUCCCAUCCCUAAAGCCAACAUUGCUCCAUGCCCAUAGGGAGCUCCCAGCUAGAAAGAGGAUCCUUCUCUAGGAAAAGGGAAGUGGGUUGAGUCACCAGCUUCCCCAGCCUUUCAGGGCACCACAGGAAAGUCCCGCUUCAAUUUCACCCCACCCAGAGACUGGCAAAGCUGAGAUACACAGAGAUGGCUAGGAACAAGGAAGAAAAGCACAGGCUACCAGAGCAGGCACAUAUGAGGAGCAACCACUGUUCGAAGCCACCUGCUUUACAGACAAAUUCACCAGCGUUCACCCCACAGGUAUUUGCAUUCACUGACAUCAGCCACUUUCCCUACUAUUUUCUCCCCAGCCUGUGCUGCUCUGGCCCCUCCUACAGCCGAGGUACCACAACAGCAGCCAGACCAAGCUCUAUAGAAGUACAAAACACAAGCCUAGACAGCCCAUCACUAUGUUUGCACUUACAGCUAGGCCCUCCAGCUGUGUGUGUGCACACUGCCAGCCUGACACCGGCCACUUGCCUCCAUUGCUGUGCAUGCACCUGACACAGACUGUGCAGCUACAGGAGAAUAUGCAGACUGCCAGAGACUUUUGCAGCUGCCUAUAGUUGGCCCUGGUUCUUGCUGCUUGCCUUGGCACUCACCACUAGGUGUUUGUCUGCAACUAGCCCCUGCCAUUACAUAGGCAUCUGUAGCUGCCCCAUGUAGCUGAGUGUGUAUACACCACUAGCUCCAACCAUCACUACUGUCUGUCCUGGCCCCUGGAUCUGGAGGUGCUGCUGAGGACCCAACAGCCAUUGCAGCUUUAGUGGCCUCCUGCAGCAUUCAUCAGGGACCACACAGUUGUUGAUGCCAUGGGCCCCAGCAAUCUGAGCCCAAGAGAAAUCAUGUUCUCCUACACCCAUUGCUGCACAUACACACAUUUGGUACCCUGUAGCAGUAGACCUGGGGUCACAGCAUGUUGUAGUGUGCCCUUCAAACAUUGCAGAUGUGGAAGUCUUCACUUACCAAAGUCAGUCCAUAGUGUCCAGAAGAGGUGACUGCUGCUUCAAAUGCAAAGACACCUACAUAAGGCUGCAGGGAUCAUGACGAAUCAGGGAACAGGUCUCCACCAAAGGAAUACAGUAAACUUCCAGUAACUGGCCCUAAAGAAAUGGAGAUCCAGGAAUUGUCUGAUAAGAAAUUUUAAAUAAUUGUCUAAUGAUGCCCAGAGAGCUACAAGAGAACAGUUCAGUGAUAUCUGGAAAAUAGGAGAAGAAAGAUGUACAUAAAGGAGACGAAAAAUCUAAAAAAUUUUGGAGCUGAAGUAUACAAUGAUUGAAGAAUUAAAUAGAGAGCUUCAGACUUGACUAGGAAGAAGAAUCAGAUCAACUAAAAUUAUUCAAUCAAAAGAGUGGAAAGAAGAAAGAAUGGAAAGGACUGAAGAACAUUUAUAGACACCAUUAAGAGGAACAAAGUACAUCUCUUUGGAGUUAGAAAAGGAGAAGCAAUGGAGGAAGAGGUAGAAAGCUUAUCUAAAGAAUAAUGGCUGAGAAUUUCUCAAACCUGAGAAAAAUUUGGACUUCCAAGUUCAUGAAACAAAUAAGUUACUCCAAAAUUUCAAUCUAUCUGCAAGAUACAUAAAACACUGUCUAAAGUAACAAAACAAUUUUAAAGCAGCAAGAGAAAAUAAUCUCAUACAAGAGAACCCCCAUAAGGCUAUCAGCAGAUAUCCCAGCAGAGACCUUACAGGCAAGGAGAGAAUGGGGUGAUAUGUUUAUGUACUGAAAGGAAAAAAAUUACCAACCAAGAAUACUAUACCCAGCAACGUUGUCCUUUAGAAAUAAAGUCAAGACAAAGACUUUCCCUAACAAACAAAAACCAAGGGGGUUCACCAUCAUGAGACCUUACUUACAAGAAAUACUAAAAGGAGUUCCUCAAGCUGAAAUGAAAGAACACCAAUUAGUAAUAUGAAAACAUAUGAAAAUAUACAACAUAAAGGACAGUCAGAUUCAGAAUACUCUAAUACUCUAAUAUGAUGGUGUGUUGAUCAUUUAAUCUAGUUAAAGAUUAAAGGACCAAAGUAUUUUUAAAAAAGCUAUAGCUGGAAAUUUCCACUGUGGCUCAGCAGUAAUGAGCCCAUUGAGUAUCCAUGAGGAUGCUGGUUCAAUCCCUGGUCUCACUCAAUGGAUUAAGAAUUUGGCCUUGCUGUGAGCUAAGGUGUAGGUUGCAGACAUAGCUCAGGUCCAGUGUGGCUGUGGCUGUGGCAUAGGCCAGCAGCUGUAGCUCUGAUUUGACCCCUAGCCAGGGAAUGUCCCUAUGCUGCAAGUGUGGCCCU
rnacentral:lncRNA from 1 species